AAGGGACCUUUACAGAACCCCAGGGAUGAGUCAUGAGAUCAUCACUUUAGUUGCAGAUAUUGCUUCCUCCUCUGCUCCUAGCCCUCCCGCAAAGCAUGUGGCCUUGGGAGUGGUAAGAGUUCUGGACAACAUCUAGAUGUAGAGUUCCCCCGAAAAAGGGCUUAAGUAAAGGAAAUUUCUCGAGUCAGUUGUCAAAAUGCGAGUGGGAUGGGGGGAAGGUGACUCAUCAGAGAUGCAGCUGUCCUCCAGUCAACCUUCUAAAAAGGGUACAAAUAUUGCCCUUUUACCACACAUCUUCCAGAAAAACACCGUGUGUCUGCUUCAGCAAAGCAUCCUCUCACAAGACAGCUUCCAGAAAUACAUCACAUGACACAACUGAAUCUCAAAAGAAACCUGACAUUUCCACUUCAGCUUCACCAAAAGCACUCUAUUGAAUAGGAGUUGAAAGAGUGGAUACCUUUGUUUUCUUGUUGAAUUUAGAGGGACGUUUAUAUGUUUAUAUGUUUGUUACAUUUGCUUUUAGAUUGUCAUGUUUAACCUAAUUUUAUUUCUUUUCUUUAUGGUUUCAGUUUAAUGUUGUCCACUUUGAUCAAAUGUCAAAAAUUUUCAGACAACUUCUGCCCCUAUUGGGAUAAUGAUGUGAUUUGUAUCCCUUAGUCCUUCUGAUUGCUUUUGACUUUAUUAGUUUCCAUGUAUUGAAUGUUCAUUCAAUAUUUUUCCCUGUGUGUUUAAGUUAGUAUUACAACUAUUUAAUGAAAAUUAUUUCCUCUAUA